rnacentral:lncRNA from 1 species
AGCGGCCCCUGCUGGCCAGCGGGGGCACUGCAGUUCUCAGAAGAAACGUAGAACCAGGUUGUUGUGCAUUUUCCGGGCUUUUUUUUUUUCCGUGUCAGGAGCAACCGGAGUUGCUUCUGGAGUGAGAGAAUUGGCCGUCUGCAAGGACGUUACCCAGGGGACGCCCGGAUGUUUUGAUGUUUUUACCAUCCUUGUGGGAGGCUUCUCUCAUGUCCCCGCAUGGAGCUGGAGCUGAUAGAGGGAGCUCAUCCACACUCACCCCAGGUGGGAUUCGAACCUGGCAGCUUUCAGGUCAGCAACCCAACCUUCAAGUCACUUAGUCCACUACGCCAUCUGGGGGCUCCAUUUUCCGGGCUGUAUGGCCAUGUUCCAGAAGCAUUCUCUCCUGACGUUUCGCCCACAUCUACGGCAAGGAUCCUCAGAGGUUGUGAGCUCUUGUGAAGCACAAUCCAGCAAGUCUUCCUGUCUUUGGGAAUUAAAUCGGAAUUGUUGCAUGAUGUCUGGCUCCAUUCAUUUCCAUGAGGUUGACACUAACUCACAAGAUUACUUACUUAGGCGAUCCCUCGUAGCUCAAGGAUGAUGGUCCUCCAAGUGUUGUGUCGGCGGUGGAUGCGUAGGUGGCUGUGGAGGCCUAUUCUUGACCCGCAUGUUCUUCUGCAGUGAAGACAUCAGUUUCCAGAUGGAAAAUGGUCGUGGUCAGGGUUGGCUUGACACGCCUUCCUCCUGGCACAUUUCUCCCUUGUCAUGUUUCUUACAAGAUUAUACCACCCAAACCAUGGAAAACACCAUGGGACCAUGGAAAAUGAAAUGAUCCUUAUCAUAUGGUCCCCAGGACAACAAUGUGAUGCAGCAGCUUAAAAAGUCAAUGGGAUUUUGGGCUACAUCAAAAGGAGUGUAGUGCUUAGAUCAAGAGAAGUAAUGGUCAGACCUCACCUGGAAUACUGUGUCCAAUUCUGGGUGCCACAAUGCAAGAGGGAUAUUACCAAGCUGAAAUGUGUCCAGAUGAGGGUUCCCUAUGAAGAGUGUCUUAAAGAGCUGGUUGUUUAGCCUGUAGAAGAGAAGGUUGAGAGGAGACAUGAUCACCAUAUUUAAAUAUGCUGUCAUAAGGAAGAAGGAGUAGGCUUGUUUUCUGCUGCCUUGGAAACAAGGAUUCAGAGCAGAGUGUUCAAAUGACAGGAAAUAAGAUUCCACCUGAAUAGUAGGAAGAACUUCCUGACCAUAAGAACUGUUCAACAGUGGAACCCUCUGCCUCAGAGUGUGCUGGAAGCUCCUUCCUUGGAGGCUUUUAAGUAGAGACUGGAUGGCCAUCUGUCAGGGGCAUUUUGAUUGUACUUUUCCUGCAUGACAGUGAGUUGGACUAAAUGGCCCGUGUGAUCUCUUCCAACUCUAUAAUAAUAAUAAUAAUAAUAAUAAUAAUAAUAAUAAUAAUAAUUAUUUUAUUAUUAUUAUACCCCGCCCCAUCUCCCUGAAGGGACUCGGGGCGGCUUACAUGGGGCCAAGCCCGGUCGUCAACAAUAUAAAAACAAGCAGUAAAACAAAUCAGACACAAUAAAACAAGUUAUAAAAACACAUUCAAUACACAAUGAUAAAAUAACUCUAUGAUGCUAUUGUUGGAAAUAGCAACCUUCUCAAGCUUCCACUAGUUAUAUGUUGUGUAUAUAAUUCAGAUUGCUUACUGUAUUUUAUAUGUCUGUAUUGGCAUGCAAUUUUACCUUAACUCUUUGUUGUGGGAGGGGCUACAGACCAUGUGAUCAGAACUGGGCUUGUUCAGAACUCAGACUCCAUUUUAGAAACGGUUCAGUUUAGACUUCAGUAAGAAGUUAUGCUUCAGACUUCAAUGCAGGAACAGUAUUCUGUACAGAAACUAUUAGAUGCCAUUGGACUAUGGACUGUUGAUUCUAAGAAUGUUGCCCUGUGUUACCUACAUGCAGAAACUAUUUCAAAACUAUUUGUAACUGAAUUGAUAAAGAUCUGUAUGCUGAAUACAUGAAGUUUGUGAGUAAACCAAUAAUAAUAUAAUAAUAAUAAUUUUAUUCUUGUAUCCCGCCCCAUCUCCCCGUAGGGACUCGGGGCGGCUCACAUGGGGCCUUGCCCAACAUCACAAUAUAAAAACAAAUCAGAACACAUAAAUUUACAACAAUAAAUCAACAAUAUCAGUAAAACCAUCAUAAAAACAAUAUUACAGGAAAAAGCGUUAAAAACAGAUAUAAAACACAAGUCUAGGCCAAAGGGCGAAUGUGUCAAAUUGGGGGGAGGUAGUUACAUAAUUGACAUAGUCAUUAAAGUACUAGAAAUGACAAUAAUGACAAUAAGAAGGCGAAUCAGUGGGUCUAUUAUUAUGUAGGCAGACAACUUGAACCAGCAGAAUUCACUCAUCAAAGGCUUUCCGGAAAAGCCAGGUUUUCAGGUUCUUCCAGAAGGAGAGGAGGGUGGGGGCCAGCCUAAUCUCCCUAGGGAGCAAGUUCCAAAGCUGGGGGGCCACGACAGAGAAGGCCCUCUCUCUCGUCCCCACCAACCGCGCCUGCGAGGGUGGUGGAAGUGAGAGAAGGGCCUCCCCCGACGAGCGAAGAGAUCGUGCGGGUUCGUAGGGGGAAAUGCGGUCUCUAAGGUAGGCGGGUCCCAAACCGUUUAGGGCUUUGUAGGUAAGAACCUGCACCUUGAAUU